AUGCCUUCGCCGCCGCCAACUUAUUACAAGAAUUUGAAGAACCGUGCUGGUGAUGUGUUGACUGAUGAGCAGAUUAAACAGUGUGAAGAGUUGGGGGUUUUGGUUGACAGGGAUGAUCAAGGUACCCUCCUACAGAUUUUCACUAAGCCUGUUGGAGAUAGGUAUGUUAAUUUGCUAAUGCUUAACUAUUUAGUUGUGACUACAUUUAGCUUCAGCAGUAAGUAGCUGCUUUCUUAGGACUCAAGUCAUGCCUUCGAGCCUGUGGCUAUAUUUUGACUUCAAUUUGUGGAUCACAGCACUUAGAAUGCAGGUUUAGAUGUAUUAAAUAACAGAACUUGAGAAUUUAUACAGCCAUUCAUCCACUCUCCUCUUUUGUGUUUCUAACUUUUAAUAGUACUUGUGCUGCUUGUCAGGAAUUGGUUAAUGAUGCCAAUUGGUGCAUUAAUUCUCUGUUCUUUUGUGGUUAUGCUGAUUGCUAUUAAUGUGACAACAGAAAGAAUAUUCAAGAUUUUUGUUUUUUGAAUCGAAAUUUUCAUUGGCUUAAUUGGGUUUUUUUUUUUUUGGGGGGGGGGGGGCAGGCCAACCAUUUUUAUAGAGAUAAUUCAGAGAGUAGGAUGCAUGCUUAAGGAUGAGGAAGGAAAGACGUACCAGAAGGGAGGAUGCGGGGGAUUUGGAAAGGGCAACUUUUCGGAACUUUUCAAGUCCAUUGAGGAAUAUGAGAAGACACUUGGAGCAAAACCAGUUGCCGAGACAGCUGCUGCAUGAAUAUAGACGGCAUUUCUGAACUUAUCUUUGCG
rnacentral:lncRNA from 1 species